rnacentral:rRNA from 1 species
AGCAGCCGCGGUAAUUCCAGCUCCAAUAGCGUAUAUUAAAGUUGUUGCAGUUAAAAAGCUCGUAGUUGAAUUUCGGGAUCGAAUUGUUGGUCGUGCUUCGAUACGCACUGGCAUUAUCGGUUUCUACCUUCUGAAGAACCGCGAUGUCAUUAAUUUGGUGUCGUGGGGAAUCAGGACUGUUACUUUGAAAAAAUUAGAGUGUUUAAAGCAGGCUUACGCUUGAAUACAUUAGCAUGGAAUAAUGAAAUAGGACGUUUGAUUCUAUUUUGUUGGUUUCUAGGAUCGACGUAAUGAUUAAUAGGGAUAGUUGGGGGCAUUAGUAUUCAAUUGUCAGAGGUGAAAUUCUUGGAUUUAUUGAAGACUAACUACUGCGAAAGCAUUUGCCAAGGAUGUUUUCAUUAAUCAAGAACGAAAGUUAGGGGAUCGAAGACGAUCAGAUACCGUCGUAGUCUUAACCAUAAACUAUGCCGACUAGGGAUCGGAUGAUGUUAAUUUUAUAAUGACUC